rnacentral:lncRNA from 1 species
UUCUACCGCUAGCAAGGACUUAAGCACAAAUGAACUCCCUGGAGAGGGGGAACUGAAGAAGAAAAGGGCUGUUUUCAGACAACAGAAGACACACCAGACGGAGCAUCUGCCGACACCGCUCCGUUGCGCUGUCGUGAGAACCAGGAACCAGAAACGAGGGUGGUAAGCCAGCAAUUUCUGCCUUCAGUCGGUCGGAAGAAGCCUCCCCGCAAGACAAGAAAUGGACAAAGCUGAAAGGAGACCGCGAAAAGCGUUCGGUCUGCGUGUUUUAUUCCAGAGAACGGCCCAGCUGUCAUGACUGACUGGCUGCUACACUCCCUGGACACAACCAUAAAGCCGUUCACUGCUUCUCGCACACGAAUCUAUAUGCAUGCAUGAGAGCCCCCGUUCUCUGUGUCUCGCGUUGCAGCGCUGUUCACAGAACUCGCGAAAAUUCCCCCACCUACACCAAACGUCUCUUCAUGUUUAGAAUAAACUCACACGAACUUACACGCACGCAUGCCUCUGCAUAUAUGUGAACGUCAUGAUAUACGUUAUUGCCCGAGAGUCGAGUCGAGAGAAAGGAACUGCCGAUUUGACUAGAUGUCGCCUCGCUAAAAACGGCGGGCCCCGUCACGUCCAUGUGACGUCGUAUAUAUACACACGACACGUCUAAAUAGAUAUGCGUCUGUGCAUUUUUGCGAGUACACGAAACAGCGUUUUGCGCUGGAAACACUUCGCCAAGUUGCGGAAGGAAAGACUCGUGGCGCGGGUUUUCUUGCAAGCGGUUGGUGCUGCGGAAAAAUGUGUCUCCCUCUCCGGUGAUUUCGGCUCACCGCGGAAGACAUCUCGUCACGUAUAACAUACGCAAGCUGAAACAUUUCCCCUCUUGAAAGCAUCCGCGCGGUGGCCAAUAGGCCGCUCUUUUCAGCCUUCUUGGAAAGACUCGCGUGUGUCGCUCCACAGUGCCCCCCCAUCGCUGCUGCCGAAACGAUGC